AACAACCAUGAAUCUCCCGGGGUAGAAUGGAUGUAGGCUACCCUGAUUUUAAUCAACAAGUAUAAAAAUGGCUAAGAAGUCCUUCAACCGGCAGAUUAAUGUUCUCAAACAUUAGUCUUCUAGUAGGCUACUAGAUGAACACGUUGAUGCACAACAGAUGACUUUCACCCUUGGAAAUAGAAGCCCAUGCAAGACAGAAGAGCUUUAGGUUUUGAGCAACAGUGUGAUGUAUCCAAAAUGUCCUAUGACAAAAGCGUUAGGCAAAUGUUUGCUUUACAGAUGUGUUUGACAGUUUAGAGUUUUGAAAAAUAGACACAGAGUUGUAAAAAUGUGUCUGAUAAAAAAACUGUAAAAUAAAAUGAUUUCAUUUCAGCUAUAUAGAAAACAGAUUAUAACAUGUUUGUGUUGUAGCUGUGAUAAUACAGUACCAUUCAAGAAAAGUUUAGAAUGUGUAGCACACUAUAUGGCUUUUAAGAUGAAUUUUCAAAUCCAUGCCUGGACACAUUUUAAUGUCAUGCAAGUCACAAGACUUUUAAAUGUACAGAGGCACGGUCAAAUGCUGCACUGCUUUCACAUGGAAACAGUCACCCCAUUGUAAACUGUGGUGAAUCUUCUCUUCAGUGGACUAUCUGGAAUAAGGUCCAUGUGCCUCAGUUUAACAUGAGGGCUUAUUACCUUGAAAAGCCUCACAAUAGAUCCCUCACAGAACCAAGUAACUCGCUGACAUGGUCUACAGAACUUUGCUGGUGCCUCACCUAAUUAUUCUUAAAGAGAAAGAGGUCAGUAAAACUCAUGACAAAACCAUUUUCCACAAGGCACAGCGCCCAGAUGACAAACCUUUUUUUUUUUUUUUUUUUUUUUUUUUAAAUUACACUCUCCAAUCCUCCAAAUGUCCAUGUGGUUGAUAUGACCUCAGCGUAUACGCAUCCUGGCCUCUCUGUAUUGUAAACUCUUCCCCCUCCUUUUCCACACCAAGUACAGCCACCAUCUGCAAACAUAAACAUUCUUCACUGUCUUGAGCUCCGCAGGGACUUAGUCAACAUUACUCUGGCUUUGCAAUGAGAGCAGAAACAGCACAGGUCAGCCAGCACUGCGACAAGAAAUAAAUAACUCCACUCGGAAACUAUUUUAAGGCAAAGUAUCUUCUGCUUUCACUCACAAAUGCAGCUGUGUGGUCUCAAAUAUAUGAGGACAACUUCUCAUUUGGUAUUUUGUACCAGAGACAGAGCUUUGACCAUGCUGAAGUAGGCUAUACUUUAAAAGGACACGUUUGGCCCUUGUAUCCUGCAGUCCUGAAUAUGAGGCCAUUCAAGUUUAUGUGAUGUAUGACAACUGAACCCCACCCAGUUUGGGACUCGGCUCUAAGACAAGUGUAUUUUUACCAACUGAUGUAACUGAUGCAAUGUAACACAAUACCAACAUGAAUUGAUGUUACUUCCUGAAAUGCAGGAACAAGGCUGAUUGGGCUUCUCGAUCCUCACCUUGCCCCAGCAAGCCAUCUAGUGGUGACCAGCCCAGUCACACAAACAAAAUCCUGAAUGAAAAAGAACCCUUAUCCUCCCUAUCCUGCGCAAGAUCAUUAUCGCCAUGAUCCACCAUGAGAGAGCACACUUUUGCACUUUUAUCACCCCAAGACCCCUGCAAUAUUUCUCUUAAUUUCUGCUGAAGCACAAAAUACGUUGACCUCAAAUGUUAAAACCCACAUCACAAAGACUACUGUCAGAGUAACGGGAAUGUGCCUGACUGUAUUUGUGUUUUUUUUUUUUUUUCUUGACCGCCUAACUCCAUUUAAGGUCAAUAAGCACCACAAUUCACAAAAUAACCCUGGAUAA